rnacentral:rRNA from 1 species
AAACCAACAGGGAUUGCCUCAGUAACGGCGAGUGAAGCGGCAAGAGCUCAAAUUUGAAAUCUGGCACCCUCGGUGUCCGAGUUGUAAUUUGAAGGCUGGUCUCUGGCGAGGCGCCCCGUCUAUGUUCCUUGGAACAGGACGUCGCAGAGGGUGAGAAUCCCGUGUGAUGGGNGCGCCGAGCUAUGUAGAGGCCUGCCGACGAGUCGAGUUGUUUGGGAAUGCAGCUCUAAGUGGGUGGUAUACUCCAUCUAAAGCUAAAUACUGGCGAGAGACCGAUAGCGAACAAGUACAGUGAUGGAAAGAUGAAAAGAACUUUGAAAAGAGAGUGAAAAAGUACGUGAAAUUGUUGAAAGGGAAGGUUAUUGGAUCAGACUUGGCGGUGUGCUCAUACCUGUUCCCUUGUGGAGCGGGCUACUGGGCGCUCGCUGGGCCAGCAUCGAUUCGUGCGGCGGGACAAUGGCUGGGGAANGUGGCUGCUUACCUUUAGCGGGCAGUGUUAUAGCCCCAGCUGAUGCCGCCUGUGUGGAUCGAGGACUGCGUCUCUCUGAGACUAGGAUGCUGGCGUAAUGAUC